CAAGGGAAAGCCGAGCUUGCUCAAAUACUCCAUCAACUCGAUCAUGUAUAAUACAUGAUCAGUGACAGAGGCACCAUCUCAUAUUUUGGCGUUGAAGAUGGCACAACUAGUCUUGUGCCUCUCCACAUCAUCGGGUGUAACAAAGGCAUCCUCCAACACUUAAAGCAUGUCCUUUGGCUGAGCCUUCUCAAAUCUGUGAUUGAACUUGUCACUCAUGGCAGCCAGUAUGAUGCAGCACACUGUGGUC
rnacentral:lncRNA from 1 species